rnacentral:rRNA from 1 species
AUUGAACGCUGGCGGCAUGCUUUACACAUGCAAGUCGAACGGUAACAGGCCGCAAGGUGCUGACGAGUGGCGAACGGGUGAGUAAUGCAUCGGAACGUGCCCAGUCGUGGGGGAUAACGCAGCGAAAGCUGCGCUAAUACCGCAUACGAUCUAUGGAUGAAAGCGGGGGACGGUAAGGCCUCGCGCGAUUGGAGAGGCCGAUGUCAGAUUAGGUAGUUGGUGGGGUAAAGGCUCACCAAGCAAACGAUCUGUAGCUGGUCUGAGAGGACGACCAGCCACACUGGGACUGAGACACGGCCCAGACUCCUACGGGAGGCAGCAGUGGGGAAUUUUGGACAAUGGGCGCAAGCCUGAUCCAGCAAUGCCGCGUGCAGGAAGAAGGCCUUCGGGUUGUAAAGGACUUUUGUCCGGGAGCAAAUGCCUGGUGUUAAUAGCAUCGGGAGCUGAGAGUACCGGAAGAAUAAGCACCGGCUAACUACGUGCCAGCAGCCGCCGUAACAC